UACGUAGGGGGCAAGCGUUGUUCGGAAUUACUGGGCGUAAAGGGCGCGUAGGCGGCUCGCUAAGUCGGAUGUGAAAACUCUGGGCUCAACCCAGAGCCUGCAUUCGAAACUGACGAGCUCGAGUUCUGGAGGGGAAAGCGGAAUUCCUGGUGUAGCGGUGAAAUGCGUAGAUAUCAGGAGGAACACCGGUGGCGAAGGCGGCUUUCUGGACAGAAACUGACGCUGAUGCGCGAAAGCUAGGGGAGCAAACAGG
rnacentral:rRNA from 1 species